rnacentral:SRP_RNA from 1 species
CUGUGCUAGGCGGGGAGUUAGCGGUGCCCUGUAGCCCGAAAUCCGCUAUAGCGGGGCCGAAUACCCACCCUUAGAGGUCGCUUCGACGGCCGGAUCCGGAAAGCACGUGAUGUUGAAGGUCAAGUCCCACGCAAUGGGAUCUCGCCCAACCCCGUCAGGCCCGGGAGGGAGCAGCGGUCAGCGAUCAUUCCAUGUGCCGUGGGGGAGCUUGGCUGGAAUCGGCGACUUUCCGGUGAAGCGCCCGCGAGCGAUCGAAGGUGGGGCACAG